rnacentral:rRNA from 1 species
GAUGAACGCUGGCGGCGUGCCUAAUACAUGCAAGUCGAGCGAACAGACGAGGAGCUUGCUCCUCUGACGUUAGCGGCGGACGGGUGAGUAACACGUGGAUAACCUACCUAUAAGACUGGGAUAACUUCGGGAAACCGGAGCUAAUACCGGAUAAUAUAUUGAACCGCAUGGUUCAAUAGUGAAAGACGGUUUUGCUGUCACUUAUAGAUGGAUCCGCGCCGCAUUAGCUAGUUGGUAAGGUAACGGCUUACCAAGGCUACGAUGCGUAGCCGACCUGAGAGGGUGAUCGGCCACACUGGAACUGAGACACGGUCCAGACUCCUACGGGAGGCAGCAGUAGGGAAUCUUACGCAAUGGGCGAAAGCCUGACGGAGCAACGCCGCGUGAGUGAUGAAGGUCUUCGGAUCGUAAAACUCUGUUAUUAGGGAAGAACAAAUGUGUAAGUAACUAUGCACGUCUUGACGGUACCUAAUCAGAAAGCCACGGCUAACUACGUG